rnacentral:tRNA from 1 species
GCAUCGGUGGUUCAGUGGUAGAAUGCUCCCUCCGGCCCGGGUUCGAUUCCCGGCCGAUGCA